rnacentral:lncRNA from 1 species
GGUGGAGUUAGGAGUCUAAUUUGAUGUGGUUAGUGGGUAGGAUUCUAUGGGAUAAGGUGGUUAGUGGAUGGAGUGGGGAUCAUUUUAAGUUUAAUUUUUAUUUUAUUUUAUUUUUCAUUUAUUUUUCCCAAAUUUCCUCAUUUUGAUGUUUCUGUCUCUCCUUUAUGUUUACUGUAAAAAAGCUUUCAUUUUCUUCUUCUCUUUCGAUUUUGUCACAAAUCGUUUGCGUAAUUCACUAUGUCUUGGUUUGUGGUAUC